AAACUGAGAAUAAUACUCCAUAGGUCUAGGAUGCUGGAAUGCACUUAGUCUGAAAACUCCGGUGCCUAAGGAUGAAUCUGCGGACUAUCAGGUUGUAGUCAGGGUAAUGACCUGACUAGCCUAUGACGGAUAUGGGUUGUGGGAGCAAUAACCCAGAGAUGAUAUCUGAGACACGAUAUCAGGCCCUACGGGGCGCAGCAGGCGCGAAAACUUCGCAAUGUGCGAAAGCACGACGAGGGAAUCCCAAGUGCUUGCACGUAAGUGUAAGCUGUUUCUCUGUUUAAAACGCAGAGAGAGUAAGGGCUGGGUAAGACGGGUGCCAGCCGCCGCGGUAAUACCUGCAGCUCAAGUGGUGGCCGUUAUUAUUGGGCCUAAAACGUCCGUAGCCGGUUUAUUAAAUGCCUGGGUAAAUCGGACCGCUUAACGGUUCGAAUUCCGGGUAGACUGAUAAACUUGAGACCGGGAGAAGUUAGAGGUACUCCUGGGGUAGAGGUGAAAUUCUGUAAUCCUAGGGGGACCACCAGUGGCGAAAGCGUCUAACUAGAACGGGUCUGACGGUGAGGGACGAAGCCCUGGGGCGCAAACGGGAUUAGAUACCCCGGUAGUCCAGGGUGUAAACGCUGCUUGCUUGAUGUUAGUCGGGCU
rnacentral:rRNA from 1 species